AGAGUUUGAUUCUGGCUCAGGAUGAACGCUGGCGGCGUGCCUAACACAUGCAAGUCGAACGAAGCACUUUCUUGAAUCUUCGGAGGACAGAGUUGUGACUGAGUGGCGGACGGGUGAGUAACGCGUGGGUAACCUGCCCUGUACAGGGGGAUAACAGUUAGAAAUGACUGCUAAUACCGCAUAAGCGCACGAGGUAGCAUUAUCUUGUGUGAAAAACUCCGGUGGUACAGGAUGGGCCCGCGUCUGAUUAGCUUGUUGGCGGGGUAAGAGCCCACCAAGGCGACGAUCAGUAGCCGGUCUGAGAGGAUGAACGGCCACAUUGGAACUGAGACACGGUCCAAACUCCUACGGGAGGCAGCAGUGGGGAAUAUUGCACAAUGGGGGGAACCCUGAUGCAGCAACGCCGCGUGGGUGAAGAAGUAUUUCGGUAUGUAAAGCCCUGUCAGCAGGGAAGAUAAUGACGGUACCUGACCAAGAAGCCCCGGCUAAAUACGUGCCAGCCGCCGC
rnacentral:rRNA from 1 species